GAUAUUGCGCAAUGGGGGAACCCUGACGCAGCAACGCCGCGUGGGUGAUGAAGGUCUUCGGAUUGUAAAGCCCUGUUUUCUGGGACGAUAAUGACGGUACCAGAGGAGGAAGCCACGGCUAACUACGUGCCAGCAGCCGCGGUAAUACGUAGGUGGCGAGCGUUGUCCGGAUUUACUGGGCGUAAAGGGUGCGUAGGCGGAUGUUUAAGUGGGAUGUGAAAUCCCCGGGCUUAACCUGGGGGCUGCAUUCCAAACUGGAUAUCUAGAGUGCAGGAGAGGAAAGCGGAAUUCCUAGUGUAGCGGUGAAAUGCGUAGAGAUUAGGAAGAACACCAGUGGCGAAGGCGGCUUUCUGGACUGUAACUGACGCUGAGGCACGAAAGCGUGGGUAGCAAACAGGAUUAGAUACCCUGGUAGUCCACGCCGUAAACGAUGGAUACUAGGUGUAGGGGGUAUCAACUCCCCCUGUGCCGCAGUUAACACAAUAAGUAUCCCGCCUGGGGAGUACGGUCGCAAGAUUAAAACUCAAAGGAAUUGACGGGGCCCCCCC
rnacentral:rRNA from 1 species